rnacentral:rRNA from 1 species
GCUUGUCUCAAAGAUUAAGCCAUGCAUGUCUUAGUGUAAAUAACUCUUAUGAAACUGCGAAUGGCUCAUUAAAUCAGUUAUCAAAUACGUGAUGGUCGCCUACUACAUGGAUAACCGUAGUAAUUCUAGAGCUAAUACAUGCCAAGGUCGUAAGACUGCAUUUAUUAGAUAUACCAAGUCGGUGAAUCAUAAUAACUUAGCAAAUCGAAACAACGUUUCGAUAAAUCAUUCAAGUUUCUGACCUAUCAUGCUGGAUGGUAGUGUAUUGGACUACCAAGGCAGUCACGGGUAACGGAGAAUUAGGGUUCGAUUCCGGAGAAGGAGCCUGAGAAACGGCUACUACAUCUAAGGAAGGCAGCAGG